AAGUGAAUCAAAUUGCCAUUCUCGGCAUCUGAUUAGGUUAAUCUUAUUGUGUUGCAGGCAGACAUAUUGUUGCGAGGGUACUAUGGAUGGAACUCGCGGCGUGCUAUCCAGGUUCUCGAUCAAGUUUUUCCAAAGGUAUUAUGAGGGUGUUUGGGAGUGUGUUAGUUGUUGCUUUUCAAAUAGCUUUCGUGUCGAAAAGCAUGUCAAUAAUAUUUUUUUAUUUUUUAAAAAUCAUUUUUGAUAUCAGCACAUCAAAACAAUCAAGAAAGUACAAACCGCACUUAAUUUUAAUAAAAAAAAAAAUUUGAAAUUUUACAAAAAGCUGUUUGGACCGCAUUGCCAAACAGCCUCUAUAUCGAUGUGCUAAUUUUUUAGGAGCGGAUCACACAUGAAAACUGAUCAUCACAGAGGAAGCUAGUGAAAGUUUCAUCAUUUUAAAUGGGCUCACUGUAAGAUCUAUUUGAGGAAACG
rnacentral:lncRNA from 1 species